AUUCAUUUAGUAUAAAAAAGUAUAUAAAGCCUCCAACUUUAUGGUUUAAAAUA
rnacentral:tRNA from 1 species